UACGAAGGGGGCUAGCGUUGUUCGGAUUUACUGGGCGUAAAGCGCACGUAGGCGGAUCGUUAAGUCGGGGGUGAAAUCCUGGAGCUCAACUCCAGAACUGCCUUCGAUACUGAGAGUCUUGAGUCCGGGAGAGGUGAGUGGAACUGCGAGUGUAGAGGUGAAAUUCGUAGAUAUUCGCAAGAACACCAGUGGCGAAGGCGGCUCACUGGCCCGGUACUGACGCUGAGGUGCGAAAGCGUGGGGAGCAACAGGG
rnacentral:rRNA from 1 species